rnacentral:rRNA from 1 species
CCCCUAGAUGUUCUGGGCCCCACGCGCGCUACACUGAACAGUUCAACAAGUCUUAACCUUGGCCGAUAGGUCUGGGUAAUCUUUGAACGCUGUUCGUGAUUGGGAUAGACCUUUGCAAUUAUGGGUCUUCAACGAGGAAUUCCUAGUAAACGCAAGUCAUCAGCUUGCAUUGAUUACGUCCCUGCCCUUUGUACACACCGCCCGUCGCACCUACCGAUUGAAUGGUCCGGUGAAGCCUCCGGAUUGGCGCGCACCUCGGUGCCGCCGAGAAGUUGGCUAAACCUUACCAUUUAGAGGAAGGUGAAGUCGUAACA